UACAGAGGGUGCAAGCGUUCAUCGGAAUUACUGGGCGUAAAGCGUGCGUAGUCGGUUAUUUAAGUCGGGUGUGAAAGCCCCGGGCUCAACCUGGGAAUUGCAUUCGAUACUGGAUAGCUAGAGUUCGGCAGAGGGAAGCGGAAUUUCCGGUGUAGCGGUGAAAUGCGUAGAUAUCGGAAGGAACAUCAGUGACGAAAGCGGCUUCCUGGACCAGAACUGACGAUCAGGCACGAAAGCGUGGGGAGCAAACAGG
rnacentral:rRNA from 1 species